rnacentral:rRNA from 1 species
UACGGGGGGGCAAGCGGUUGUUCGGAAUUACUGGGCGUAAAGGGCUCGUAGGUGGCCAACUAAGUCAGACGUGAAAUCCCUCGGCUUAACCGGGGAACUGCGUCUGAUACUGGAUGGCUUGAGUUUGGGAGAGGGAUGGCGGAAUUGCCAGGUGUAGCGGAUGAAAUGCGUAGGAUAUCUGGAGGAACACCGGUGGCGGA